rnacentral:tRNA from 1 species
GCCUGGGUGGUUCAUUCGGUUAAGCAUCCGACUUUGGCUCAGAUCAUGAUCUCGCAGUUGGUGGGUUUGAACCCCGCUUCAGGCU